UCCCAUAUGGUCUAGUGGUUAGGAUUUGGUGCUUUCACCGCCAAGGCUCGGUUUCAAUUCCCGGUGUGGGAA
rnacentral:tRNA from 1 species